AUUGAACGCUGGCGGCAGGCCUAACACAUGCAAGUCGAACGAGUGGCGGACGGGUGAGUAAUGUCUGGGAAACUGCCCGAUGGAGGGGGAUAACGACUGGAAACGGUAGCUAAUACCGCAUACCAUCGGAUGUGCCCAGAUGGGAUUAGCUAGUAGGUGGGGUAACGGCGCACCUAGGCGACGAUCCCUAGCUGGUCUGAGAGGAUGACCAGCCACACUGGAACUGAGACACGGUCCAGACUCCUACGGGAGGCAGCAGUGGGGAAUAUUGCACAAUGGGCGAAAGCCUGAUGCAGCCAUGCCGCGUGUAUGAAGAAGGCCUUCGGGUUGUAAAGUACUUUCAGCUGGGAGGCGUUACCCGCAGAAGAAGCACCGGCUAACUCCGUGCCAGCCGCCGCGGUAAUAC
rnacentral:rRNA from 1 species